UACGUAGGGGGCAAGCGUUGUCCGGAUUUACUGGGCGUAAAGAGCGUGUAGGCGGCCAAGCAGGUCCGUUGUGAAAACUGGAGGCUUAACCUCCAGACGUCGAUGGAAACCGCGUGGCUAGAGUCCGGAAGAGGAGAGUGGAAUUCCUGGUGUAGCGGUGAAAUGCGCAGAUAUCAGGAAGAACACCCGUGGCGAAGGCGGCUCUCUGGGACGGUACUGACGCUGAGACGCGAAAGCGUGGGGAGCGAACAGG
rnacentral:rRNA from 1 species